CUGCCAGAAUGGACCAAGCUGACAGCUUCGCAGAGCGUUGGCUGAGGGUGUGGGACCGCGACCCGCAAUCGCCAAGGCUAGAGGGGUCGAUCUGGACCAACCGAUGUCAGAGGGCUCCCUAGGUGGGAGGAUGCUCCGGACCCGCCCCGGGAGCCUCCCUUCUCCGAGCAGAAGGAAGGGCGCUCAAACGCGUGCACACUCAAACACACACACAAACACAAACAUCCUUCCCGUGGAGUUGUGUCUCGUCUCCCUUUUGUUUUUCUCCCUUCCCGGUCAAGAGACCCGGAAGUUUUUUUUUUUUUUUUUUAAAUCCAGUCUCUCUCUUUUCCAACCCCCACCCCCCCCUCAUCUAUCACAUGGCAGAGAUAGAAUAAAAACAGAAAAAUGGCGACGGUCACGUUGUGGCGAGCACGUUGCCAGCUGCCACCUUCUUGGAGAAGGACCACACCUGUGCUUAUUCCUCGCUUUGGAGGAGAGACUCUCCAUCAGAGUGGUAACAGCAGAAGGACGGUGCUGCAGCGGUCUCUGGGAAGAGAGGGCCGAUUAAAGGGAGCUUGUGGAUCUCCUCGACUUGCAGGCUCUGUGGAGGGAGCACACUUCAUAAAUCCUGAUGGACUGAUUUUUGGCUACAUCCUCAGAUUUGUACGAAGAACUGUUUUGAGUGAAUCAGUGUGUCUUUGUUUGCAUCUUCUGGAAUCCUGAAGACUGAGCCAAGGAGUUAGCAAGGCUGAGCCCUGUACUGAGCAUUUAAUCAGUUGAACACUUCCUUAUGUUUCCCUGGUUUGUGCUCAUAACAAGUGACCUUCGUCCAACUCCUCGCAACACACGAUUGUGGAAUGUUCCCUCCUGAGGAACAUGCUUUGUUUUUUUCAUUGUGAACACACUGAAAAUCUCUGAAAAUUCAAAUGAGUUUGGACAGUGGUAAUAAUGUAAGCUAACUGUACCUGCUGUGUGCCCAGUAUUCUACAUAUGUAUUAUGUUCUGCAUAUGUAUUCAGUUAGUGUUUACAUGCUAACUGUUCCAACAGCCCUGGUCAAAUGGGGGCGGGGGCAGGGGAACUAAGGCUUAGAAAAAUGUGGUCACUUACCUGAGUUAACUUGUUCAAGCCUCAGCUUCUGCAUCCUUAUAUUUACUGCAGAUUCAUAUCAGCAUCCUUGUACAAGUGAGGCAGUGCUAGAACCCCAAAGUCAUAAUAUUUUCAUUGAUUCCUUUCUUCUACCUGUAAACACUGUUGGGACCUUUUGGUUUUGAUUUUGAAUACACAUUACCUAUUCAAUAAUUCAGGAGUGGAAUGAUGCACAUGUAAUUCUGAGUCCUGAGAAUUCAGAAGCCCCCAUGGUAAUAAAAAGCUAACAUUGAUUAAAGACUUUCUGCA
rnacentral:lncRNA from 1 species